ACGUAGCAAUACGUUUGUAAAGCGGCGAACGGGUGAGGAAUACAUGGGUAACCUACCCUCGAGUGGGGAAUAACUAGCCGAAAGGUUAGCUAAUACCGCGUACGCUUCUUGGACUUCGGUUCAGGGAGGAAAGCGAUACCGUGGGUAUCGCGCUCUUGGAUGGGCUCAUGUCCUAUCAGCUUGUUGGUGAGGUAACGGCUCACCAAGGCUUCGACGGGUAGCUGGUCUGAGAGGACGAUCAGCCACACUGGCACUGCGACACGGGCCAGACUCCUACGGGAGGCAGCAGUAAGGAAUAUUGCGCAAUGGGCGAAAGCCUGACGCAGCGACGCCGCGUGGGGGAUGAAGGUCUUCGGAUUGUAAACCCCUUUCGGGAGGGAAGAUGGAAUGGGGUAACCCAUUCGGACGGUACCUCCAGAAGCAGCCACGGCUAACUUCGUGCCAGCAGCCGCGGUAAUACGAAGGUGGCAAGCGUUAUUCGGAUUUACUGGGCGUACAGGGAGCGUAGGCGGUUCGGUAAGCCCUUUGUGAAAUCUCCAGGCUUAACCUGGAACAGUCGGAGGGGACUGCCGGGCUAGAGGACGGGAGAGGAGCGCGGAAUUCCCGGUGUAGCGGUGAAAUGCGUAGAGAUCGGGAGGAAGGCCGGUGGCGAAGGCGGCGCUCUGGAACGUUUCUGACGCUGAGGCUCGAAAGCGUGGGGAGCAAACAGGAUUAGAUACCCUGGUAGUCCACGCCUUAAACUAUGAAUACUAAGUGUCGGCGGGUUACCGCCGGUGCCGCAGCUAACGCAUUAAGUAUUCCGCCUGGGAAGUAC
rnacentral:rRNA from 1 species